CUGUUAUCAGACUGUAUAGAGGUGGGAAGGCUAAACUGAGGAAUUAUGUCUGACAGAAGGGAAAAAAUGACUGUGGUGGCCUUCUCAGACCCUGUAGGAAAGGCCUCUACCUAUCCAGUAAAAGUGUCUACCUAGAUUAAUAGGUAUUUUAGUUAUCUGACUUGGGGCACGUUGAGUAAAGCUAAUUUGCCAGUCCUGGGUGGGAGCAAAUCCUGGAGCUUGAUGUGUAGGGAAGGGAGGGGGGCCUGAAUAAUCCCUGAGGAGUAGUAGAAUAGCAGAUGGAACACUGAGAAGUUAUUUCCUUGAGGAUAGAUUUCCACGAUGGAAAGGAAAUGAGAGGUUCUAAGAGGCAGGCUAGUGGCUUGUACUACAGCAUAGCCUGCCUUUGCUGGUGUGUGGCGAUUAGGCCUGGUGGAACCGCCAUCAAUAAAUCAAGUGUGAUCAGGGUGAGGAACAGGAAAGAAGGAAAUAUGGGGAAAUGGGGUGAAUGUCAGGUGGAUCAGAGAGAUACAGUCAUGGGGGUCAGGUGUGGUAUCAGGAAUAAUGUGGGAGGCCAGAUUGAAAUCCUGGCCAGGAACAAUGGUAAUUGUGGGACUUAACAAAGAGUGAGUACAGCUGAAGGAGCUGGGGAGCAGAAAGUAUAUGCAUCAGGUAUGAGGAAGAAAAUAGAUUUUGGAAGUUAUGAGAAAUGUAGAGAGUGAGUUGAGCAUAUUUGUGAUUUUGAGGGCCUCUGAAAGUAUUAAAGCAGUGGCAGCCGCUGCACGCAGACAUGAGGGCUAGGCUAAAACAGUAAGGUCAAGUUGUUUGGACAGAAAGGCUACAGGGUGCCGUCCUGGCUCUUGUGUAAGAAUUCUGACCGCACUAACCAUGCCUAGGAAGGAAAGGAGUUGUUAUUUUGUAAGGGCUUGAGGUUUGGGAGAUUAAUCGGACAUGAUCAGCAGGGAGAGCACGUGUGUUUUUAUGAGAAUUAUGCCGAGAUAGGGCUGUAAAGCGUGUCAGGGUUGCUGCCGAAGGAGCCAUGAACUGGGCU
rnacentral:lncRNA from 1 species